rnacentral:rRNA from 1 species
GACGAACGCUGGCGGCGUGCUUAACACAUGCAAGUCGAACGGAAAGGCCCUGCUUUUGUGGGGUGCUCGAGUGGCGAACGGGUGAGUAACACGUGAGUAACCUGCCCUUGACUUUGGGAUAACUUCAGGAAACUGGGGCUAAUACCGGAUAGGAGCCCCUGCUGCAUGGUGGGGGUUGGAAAGUUUCGGCGGUUGGGGAUGGACUCGCGGCUUAUCAGCUUGUUGGUGGGGUAGUGGCUUACCAAGGCUUUGACGGGUAGCCGGCCUGAGAGGGUGACCGGCAACAUUGGGACUGAGAUACGGCCCAGACUCCUACGGGAGGCAGCAGUGGGGAAUAUUGCACAAUGGGCGGAAGCCUGAUGCAGCAACGCCGCGUGCGGGAUGACGGCCUUCGGGUUGUAAACCGCUUUCGCCUGUGACGAAGCGUGAGUGACGGUAAUGGGUAAAGAAGCACCGGCUAACUACGUG